rnacentral:rRNA from 2 species
CGAGCGGAUGAGUGGAGCUUGCUCCAUGAUUCAGCGGCGGACGGGUGAGUAAUGCCUAGGAAUCUGCCUGGUAGUGGGGGACAACGUUUCGAAAGGAACGCUAAUACCGCAUACGUCCUACGGGAGAAAGUGGGGGAUCUUCGGACCUCACGCUAUCAGAUGAGCCUAGGUCGGAUUAGCUAGUUGGUGAGGUAAAGGCUCACCAAGGCGACGAUCCGUAACUGGUCUGAGAGGAUGAUCAGUCACACUGGAACUGAGACACGGUCCAGACUCCUACGGGAGGCAGCAGUGGGGAAUAUUGGACAAUGGGCGAAAGCCUGAUCCAGCCAUGCCGCGUGUGUGAAGAAGGUCUUCGGAUUGUAAAGCACUUUAAGUUGGGAGGAAGGGCAGUAAGUUAAUACCUUGCUGUUUUGACGUUACCAACAGAAUAAGCACCGGCUAACUUCGUGCCAGCAGCCGCGGUAAUACGAAGGGUGCAAGCGUUAAUCGGAAUUACUGGGCGUAAAGCGCGCGUAGGUGGUUCGUUAAGUUGGAUGUGAAAGCCCCGGGCUCAACCUGGGAACUGCAUCCAAAACUGGCGA